UAUCACACAGAGCUCCCGGCACAUCGCGUUUGUUGUUUAUAUCAUACGCAUGCGCGCACGUCUCACAAGAUUUUCCUUAUAUCAAUAACCUCGCGUGUGAUUGGAGGAGCCCGACAGGCUUCUCGCCUUCGUCCAAUCGCGUGCGAGGUCAUGGCCACGGCUCACACAGCAGUACAAGAGGACCAUUAAGCGAUGUUUGGUUUGGUGUUUGUAACUCUCCAAGAAGAGAAGACGGGUGCACAAUCCCAAGAUUGCGGUAAGAAUAAUUUUAUGUAAAAGCAUAUUUUUAAGUAGCCCAAGCUGUGUGUUUUAUUGCUUAGAGGUGUUUUUGUCUUGUAAUUUUUAGGAGGCUGUAUGGCGUCUCUGAGGCACACUGCAGGUGCUUUGAACCAGAGCAAAGACUAACGUCGCCUCAUAACGAAGCCGUGACCUCCUAUUUGGUUGGGGCUAUUUUAGCAAGUCCACAUUUAACUGCUGAGAAUGACGACAUUGUUUCUGCCUGUAAGACGUAUUAUAAGUCGGUUCGCCGGAGCUUCAGAUACAAACAACCUGAACUCGCAUCGCGGCGAAAAGUUUAGCUCGGAGUCGAUACAGAAGAAAAAGGUUGCUGGAAGCGAGACGAAGUGUGCUGGCUGAGGGUGAGAUGGACAUUUGAAAGUGCGCCACCAUAGAUCUCAUGUCUGAUGAAGACGGCAUUGUUGACGGGGUGUCUGGAUGGAUUGUGCGGCCACCGCCCUCUCGCAGCCUGGAACUCUCCGAGCUCUGUGCCACGCUGCAAUUCAGAUUAGAGGCGAUACCAAAGUACAGGGGAACUCACCAUAUAUGCCUGCAAAAGCGACUUUUUUACAACGUUUUUGAGUUUUUUUUUUUCUUUUUCUUUUUUCAACACUUGAUAACUUUGAAAAAGAUUUUUAGGGAUCUUUCCCGAAUGUCUUGGGCACUUUUUGACGUGUUUGGAGGACAACAUAAGAGACAUUAUGCUGCUUUGUACAUAGUUGUGUGUUUCUAAUUAAAGCUCUUUCUUUGAAUAAACAGCUGUGUGUUUAUAAAUAAACCUCUUUGUUUUCUCUUAUAUUUCUUGAUGGUGUGAAUAAUGAAGUACAUAGCACAAUGACAUUAUUAUAUAAAAAAUUUAUAUCACAUAAAUUAUAUAAUUAUUAUUAUUAUUGGGGUUUACAUUUAUAAUGAGCCAGGGUGCCCAAUAACCCCCCUCUUUAGAGU